rnacentral:rRNA from 1 species
CCUACGGGUGGCUGCAGUGGGGAAUAUUGCACAAUGGGGGAAACCCUGAUGCAGCGACGCCGCGUGAGUGAAGAAGUAUUUCGGAACGUAAAGCUCUAUCAGCAGGGAAGAAAAAAGACGGUACCUGUCUACGAAGCCUCGGCUAACCACGCGCCAGCAGCCGCGGCAAUACGCAGGGGGCAAGCGUUAUACGGAUUUACUGGGCGUAAAGGGAGCGUAGACGGCGCGGCAAGUCUGGAGUGAAAGGCAGGGGCUUAACCCCUGAACUGCUUUGGAAACUGGCAUGCUAGAGUGCUGGAGAGGUUAGUGGAAUUCCUGGUGUAGGGGUGAAAUGCGUAGAUAUUAGGAGGAACACCAGUGGCGAAGGCGGCUAACUGGACAGUAACUGACGUUGAGGAGCGAAAGCGUGGGGAGCAAACAGGAUUAGAUACCCGGGUAGUC